UACGUAGGGGGCAAGCGUUGUCCGGAAUCAUUGGGCGUAAAGAGCGUGUAGGCGGCCCGAUAAGUCCGCCGUGAAAGUCCAGGGCUCAACCCUGGAAUGCCGGUGGAAACUGUCGGGCUGGAGUCCGGAAGAGGCGAGUGGAAUUCCUGGUGUAGCGGUGAAAUGCGCAGAUAUCAGGAGGAACACCAAUGGCGAAGGCAGCACUCUGGGACGUGACUGACGCUGAGACGCGAAAGCGUGGGGAGCAAACAGG
rnacentral:rRNA from 1 species